UUGAGUGUCAUUUAAAUUAUCAACCAAUGAGUCUUUGAUUAGGCUUUUUGGCUUGGACUUGGGAAUUGCUGGCUUUCAGUAGUCGGCUGUCCUUAAAUGCAUUAGUGAGUACGUGCACGGCCUGUUGACGUGAUAAUGAUCGUUGGUGGGCUGGAAGCGUAGUUGCUUAUAACCUUUAUGAACUUUGGGAAAGUGCUAUGUGACGCUAGAAGCAUAGUAUGGAACUGAAGGUAGUAAUACAAAGUGGAAAGUGCUAUGUGCAUACGGCCUGAUCGCUGGAAAAAGCACCCAAUAGUAUGGAAACUAGCAGGACAAUAUGAAAGAUGGAAAUGCUUAUGUGCAUACGGCCUGAUCGCUGGAAGCAUGGUAUGGAAACUAAUUAUAUCAAUUGGAAGUGCUAUGUGCAAGCAUAGUAUGGAAGUUUGGUUAGUAGUGGAAGUACUAUGUGUAUACGGCCCUGAUCGCUGGAAGCAUGGGCAUGGAAAUUUAGUAGUAAAAAGUUUCAUGGUAGUGAAAGUGCUUAUGGUGUGUAUAUAACAGCCCUGAUCGCUGGAAGCAUAGGAUUUGAAACCAAGUAAAGAAAACCAAUUUGACCUCAAAUCAGGUAGGACUACCCGCUGAACUUAAGCAUAUCAAUAAGCGGAGGAAAAGAAACUAACAAGGAUUCCCCUAGUAACUGCGAGUGAAGAGGGAAAAGCUCAAAUUUUGAAUCUGGCGGUCAUUUGAUUUAGGCCGU
rnacentral:rRNA from 1 species